UAACUGCUGCUGGUUGGAGCUAACCAGGAUUCACAUUGGUGGGCUCGAUGUGACAUCCUCACGCCUUCGUAGUUAUCGUUGUUUUCAAACUAAACUUCUAUUUAAUUUCCGUUGCAUGUUAAACUCUGAUAAUUUGUUUAAAACUCAUUUUGUAAAGCUCUGCUUGUAAAUUAACUUUGAGAAAUUUUGUCUGCUUGUAAUCAUCUGUGCUCGUCUUCGUGCGAGACUUCCAGUGUUUUUCGAUCCUUAACCCGACAGACGUCCGGAUUACACCGUUUUAAGUGCACAGUAACUUGAUUAACCAUUAAGAUGAUAGUUAACGCACUUAAACCGGUUUAAUUUGGGCGGUUCUGCCACAGUUCUGCUUGCUUGUAUCGUCUCGCAACCGAAAGGAUUCUGGAGUGUCCUAUAGCCAUAGCCAGACAGACUGUUUCGAUUGACUCCCACCGAGCGUCGGUUCUCCUGUCUCCAAUUGGCCGCUCAAACUGGCUCGGGCUUUGGCCGAGAUCAAGCUGGCGAAGAGCGAUCCUCUGCUGGAGUUUGGAGAGGAGGAGGUGCGCAGGCAGCGCAGCCCAGGACGUGCACGCCUAGCAGCGCGCCGGCAAUGCUGACGAGCAAGCGUUGCUGGUGCUGACUUGCGAGCGUUGCCGGUCAAUAUGCGCACCUGCAGUUUUGAUCAUACAGUUUGCUCUGGGUUUGUGCGUGGUUUUCAGAUUCCAAUAUCACUGAUCAGCCCUGAUAAUUUUGAGCUACUAUACAUUCAUUAGGAGACAAGCUUGUUACAUGCUACCAAGAUCAUUGCUUUAUCUGUUAGGCCCGUGUAUCAACAGUCCUAGCUGCUUGCCAGCAAAUGAAGUACAUUUCAAGGUAAUUCUCAAAUUGAGUUCUCUCUCCUUCUGUACUCAAAAUCAACCCAAUCAGCACCUGACAAAUGUCCAAGUUACACCAGAGGCAUGCGUGAAUGAGUGGAUUAAUUUCAACUGACUUUGAGGUCGACCAGGUCUAGAUGUCCAUUUUUGCUGGUUCACUUUGGUGUGGAGGUCGGCGAUCCAUCUAUUUUAUUGUGCUUUUGUGAAGCACAUGGCUUGGUCGGACCAUAUUGCACGUUGUGUCACUGUCACAAGCUACAGGGUUUCAGUACCAUUGCCGUUUCUACCGAUGUACGGUACAUGCACAGAGAUGAACCUGUCCUAAACUCAUAAUAUGAUGCAAAAAUGCUUUGUAAUUUUUCGUGGAGAA